CUUCUUCUUCUCCGGGACAGAAACAACACUCUCUUUAACAAUAUUACUCUCAGCACCACCACCACCAAGAAUCUUGGCACCACCUCUGGGAGAAAACAAGGCACCAUUCUGAGCCACCUCACCAUCAGAUCCAGCAUUACCAGAAAAUACCCACUUGCCAGAACCACCAUUUAUUGUAUCAGAAAACACCCUUUUGGCCCCUGAAGUCACCAGGUGAGAAUAGCCACUUUUGCCAUCUUUUUCUUCAC
rnacentral:lncRNA from 1 species